CAAGCCCGUAACUUGUUUUGUCCGCUUUAAUUCUCGUUUCGUGACUUUGUGCUCAGUUGGCCCGCUACCGCGCUCUUGUAAGUUCGUGACUGUGUUCCCGGAAUAUUACGAGCUCUACCCGCCGAUACUGCGCCUUUGUUAUCGAAACAGAUUCUCAUCCUUGUUCGUCCAUAAAAGGUGUGUAUAGGUGAAUCCACCAUAGUUACGUGAGUACAACAUUUGAGUAGCGUAGUUGUAUUAGGUAACAAACUAUAAGAACAAAAGGAAUGAGUGAUUUUACCGUUUUAGAAUGUACAUUCGCCGACUUUUUUGCAUCUAUACAAACGAACAUGACU